AUACGGAGGAUGCGAGCGUUAUCCGGAUUUAUUGGGUUUAAAGGGUGCGCAGGCGGCCAUUUAAGUCAGCGGUUAAAUCGUGGGGCUCAACCCCAUUCUGCCGUUGAUACUGGGUGGCUUGAUUGCGGUCGAGGUUGGCGGAAUUCGUUGUGUAGCGGUGAAAUGCAUAGAUAUGACGAAGAACACCGAUUGCGUAGGCAGCUGACCAGACCGCAAAUGACGCUCAUGCACGAAAGUGCGGGGAUCGAACAGGAUUAGAUACCCUGGUAGUCCGCACAGUAAACGAUGAAUACUUGUUUUCGGCGAUAUAAUGUCGGAGGCAAAGCGAAAGCGAUAAGUAUUCCACCUGGGGAGUACGCCGGCAACGGUGAAGCUCAAAGGAAUUGACGGGG
rnacentral:rRNA from 1 species